CAGCUCUUGACAUGUCACGUAUGAUUUCCAGAGAUGGAUUUCUUCAGUUCGGCUGGCGUGAACACAGGUGCUGCAUGGCUGUCGUCAGCUCGUGUCGUGAGAUGUUGGGUUAAGUCCCGCAACGAGCGCAACCCUCGCCCCUAGUUGCCAUCAUUAAGUUGGGCACUCUAGAGGGACUGCCGGUGAUAAGCCGAGAGGAAGGUGGGGAUGACGUCAAGUCCUCAUGGCCCUUACGGGCUGGGCUACACACGUGCUACAAUGGCGGUGACAGUGGGCAGCUACUUCGCGAGGAGAAGCUAAUCCCAAAAAGCCGUCUCAGUUCGGAUUGCACUCUGCAACUCGAGUGCAUGAAGUUGGAAUCGCUAGUAAUCGUGGAUCAGCAUGCCACGGUGAAUACGUUCCC
rnacentral:rRNA from 1 species